CCUACGGGUGGCAGCAGUGAGGAAUAUUGGUCAAUGGGCGAGAGCCUGAACCAGCCAAGUCGCGUGAGGGAAGACGGUCCUAUGGAUUGUAAACCUCUUUUGUCGGGGAGCAAAAAGGCCUCGUGAGGCCACAAGUGAGAGUACCCGAAGAAAAAGCAUCGGCUAACUCCGUGCCAGCAGCCGCGGUAAUACGGAGGAUGCGAGCGUUAUCCGGAUUUAUUGGGUUUAAAGGGUGCGUAGGCGGACUGGAAAGUCAGCGGUAAAAUCGAGAGGCUCAACCUCUUUCCGCCGUUGAAACUGUCGGUCUUGAGUGGGCGAGAAGUAUGCGGAAUGCGUGGUGUAGCGGUGAAAUGCAUAGAUAUAUGGAAGAACACCAGUGGCGAAGGCGGCUCUCUGGUCUGCAACUGACGCUGAGGCUCGAAAGCAUGGGUAGCGAACAGGAUUAGAUACCCUAGUAGUC
rnacentral:rRNA from 1 species